rnacentral:rRNA from 1 species
GAUGAACGCUGGCGGCGUGCCUAAUACAUGCAAGUCGAGCGAAAAGACGAGGAGCUUGCUCCUCUGACGUUAGCGGCGGACGGGUGAGUAACACGUGGAUAACCUACCUAUAAGACUGGGAUAACUUCGGGACACCGGAGCUAAUACCGGAUAAUAUAUUGAACCGCAUGGUUCAAUAGUGAAAGACGGUUUUGCUGUCACUUAUAGAUGGAUCCGCGCCGCAUUAGCUAGUUGGUAAGGUAAAGGCUUACCAAGGCAACGAUGCGUAGCCGACCUGCGAGGGUGGUCGGCCACACUGGAACUGAGACACGGUCCAGACUCCUACGGGAGGCAGCAGUAGGGAAUCUUCCGCAAUGGGCGAAAGCCUGACGGAGCAACGCCGCGUGAGUGAUGAAGGUCUUCGGAUCGUAAAACUCUGUUAUUAGGGAAGAACAAAUGUGUAAGUAACUAUGCACGUCUUGACGGUACCUAAUCAGAAAGCCACGGCUAACUACGUG